UAUGUAUGUGUGUGUGUGUGUGUGUGUGUGUGUGUGUGUGUAUGUAUGUGUGUGUGUAUGUGUGUGUGUGUGUGUGUGUUUCGUGUUCGUGUACGUAUGCACAUGCAUGUGUGUGCUUGUGCGUGUGCACAUGCACACAUGUGUGUAUGUAUGUGUAUGUGUGUAUGUAUGUGUAUGUGUGUAUGUAUGUGUAUGUGUGUAUGUCUGUAUGCUUAUGCGUGCAUGUAUGUGUACGUGUAUGUAUGCUUGGGCGUGCAUGUGUGAAUGCAAACAUGUACUCGCCUGCACACCGAAAUCCCACUCUGCCGUGGCAUCAUCUACAGCUGGCCAAGGUACUUGUACGUGUGAAUGUUGCAAAACUGCAUGCUUCUGCCCGAUCCUAUGGUCGAAUUUUAGGCCACAGACAGUGUUCCUCAGUUGCAUAUGUUUGGUUCUGACUUUGGCUGACUGGGCGGAUACGUCCAUAAUUUAACAUCACAAUAAAAUAAUUUGUAAUUCAGCGCAUGCGCAGAUUGCGAAUAGCAACUGAAUAUAGUGGUUUUCAGUUGACAAACCUCCUUUUCUUACAUAUGCUUAGGAGGGCAAUCAAGUUCAUUUUUUCAGUUGCAACAACCUCUUCCUCACAAUCUAGCUCAUGCUUUCAGAAUAAAAUCCAGAUGAUCAGCGAUUGUUGUCAUUUUCUGCAUGUGAAGGUGAUGAUGAUCAGAUCUCAUGCAGAUAUUUUCACCCGUGUGCAGCAUGUUCAGAUUUGUAUCCAGGCACUGAGAUUUGGGCUUUAGGCGCAUCGGUUGUGUUCUGGGUGAGGGCCCAAGUGCCGUAGAAUGUGCCAUGUCUAAGUCACCGGUAAUUUGCGUGUGUGCUCAAUGUCAGCAUUUCUAUCUAUUUUAAGUAUGUGUCUGUCUGUCUGUCUGUCUGUCUGUCCGUCUUUCUUUCUGUCCGUCUUUCUUUCUCUUUCACUCUAUGAAUGCGUGUCGGCGUCAUCACCGAAUCUCGCACCAUCCUGAAACAGCCAUGUUUGCAAGCAUCGCCAUGGUGCUGCUGGGGGCAGUGAUGGCUCUGGUCAUGUAAACCAGAUGACAGUCAGCUCAUGUUGGUGGCCAUCUUUGUCGUGGGAACGGAAUCCAUCGUCAGGAGCAGCUAUGAAGAAGGCCCUAAUAAGGAGUUCUAAUUUUAGUAUUAUUUUCAAUAGUUGCAUAUUCACACUCACUUGUUACGUGUUUUUCUCCCUUGCACCCUUUUCUCACCUUUUUUGUAUGCUAGAGUCUCGCAUCAUCAUUCAUUAUCAUUGUUUCUGGAUUUAGCUGUUCAUCUUUAUGCUGAGCCCUUUUGGCUGCCUUCCGUAGGUAACCCCUUGUACUUGUUUCCCUUUCCUUGCUUGUACCUCACCUGAAGACAAGGCUCGAAGGUAUACAUGUGCAUGUACCAGUAAAGGUCAAGAUGUUGUUGCUGAAGGACCUGAAGUGUGUCUUCUUCCUAACUGUUUAAAAAAAGGAUUACAAUUUUUUUCUCCCAGGAAGAUUUUCUAAGAGAGCAUUUCGGAGAAUACCAGAUAAUGUGUGCAAGUCGA